rnacentral:rRNA from 1 species
UACGGAGGGUGCAAGCGUUAUCCGGAUUCACUGGGUUUAAAGGGUGCGUAGGUGGGUUGGUAAGUCAGUGGUGAAAUCCCCGAGCUUAACUUGGGAACUGCCAUUGAUACUAUCAGUCUUGAAUACCGUGGAGGUCAGCGGAAUAUGUCAUGUAGCGGUGAAAUGCUUAGAUAUGACAUAGAACACCAAUUGCGAAGGCAGCUGGCUACACGAAUAUUGACACUCAGGCACGAAAGCGUGGGGAUCAAACGGA